rnacentral:pre_miRNA from 1 species
UUAACUCAAAUUUAUAUGGAGUUGGACCGUUUGCCGCCAGGGGCGCUGUUCCAACUGCAUACAAAUAUGAGUUA